rnacentral:tRNA from 1 species
UAGCAUAGUGGUUAAUGCACAGCCCCAGAUAGGUUGAGGCGCGGGUUCGAAUCCCGC